ACGAACGCUGGCGGCGUGCUUAACACAUGCAAGUCGAACGGGUCUGCCCUGUUUUUUGCGGGGUGGGUCAGUGGCGAACGGGUGAGUAACACGUGAGUAACCUGCCCCUCACUUCUGGAUAACCGCUUGAAAGGGUGGCUAAUACGGGGUGUUCUGGCUGUGCCGCAUGGUGUGGCUGGGAAAGAUUCACUUUUGUGGUGUUUUGGUGGGGGAUGGGCUCGCGGCCUAUCAGCUUGUUGGUGGGGUGAUGGCCUGCCAAGGCUUUGACGGGUAGCCGGCCUGAGAGGGUGGGCGGUCACACUGGGACUGAGAUACGGCCCAGACUCCUGCGGGAGGCAGCAGUGGGGGGCAUUGCACAAUGGGCGGAAGCCUGAUGCAGCGACGUCGCGUGAGGGAUGGAGGCCUUCGGGUUGUGAACCUCUUUCGCCGGUGAAGAAGGUCCUGCUCUUUGUGGUGGGGUUGACGGUAGCCGGGUUAUGAAGCGCCGGCUAACUACGUG
rnacentral:rRNA from 1 species